AUGUCCAUGUUGUUGUCCACUGCCUCCUCCCGUGUGCUCAUUAAUGGCCAUGCGGGAGAGCUUAUCCAGCACCGGUGUGGCCUUCGGCAGGGCGAUCCGCUCUCGCCUUUCCUCUUCAUUCUGGCGAUGGAGCCGUUGCAGCGCAUCCUGGAUCUUGCCGUCCUCGAGGGAACAUUAUCGCCGCUGAGAGGUAGGAUCCCUCGUUUUAGCACCUCGCUCUACGCGGAUGAUGUCGCCCUAUUUCUCAAUCCCGUUCGAGCUGAGCUGGCUACGGUGCGCGCCAUUCUCACCUCAUUCAGGUUGGUUUCGGGGCUCCAUGUCAACUUCUCCAAGAGUGCGGUCAUCCCGAUCCGCUGUGAACUCCUGGACGUGCCAACUAUCAUCGCGCCGCUUGGGGCGAAGGUCACCUCCUUCCCCUGCAAGUUCCUUGGCCUGCCUCUUUCCCUCAGGCGAUUGCGUAAGAUCGACUAG
rnacentral:rRNA from 1 species